GACGUAGGGCGCGAGCGUUGUCCGGAAUUAUUGGGCGUAAAGGGCUCGUAGGCGGUCCAUCGCGUUGGGAGUGAAAAGCUGGGGCUCAACCCCAGUCCUGCUUUCGAUACGGGUGGACUAGAGGUAGGCAGGGGAGAACGGAAUUCCUGGUGUAGCGGUGAAAUGCGCAGAUAUCAGGAGGAACACCGGUGGCGAAGGCGGUUCUCUGGGCCUUACCUGACGCUGAGGAGCGAAAGUGUGGGGAGCGAACAGG
rnacentral:rRNA from 1 species